rnacentral:rRNA from 1 species
ACGCUCGACACCUACUGGAGGCAGCAGUGGGGAAUAUUGGGCAAUGGGCGCAAGCCUGACCCAGCAACGCCGCGUGAAGGAAGAAGGCCCUCGGGUUGUAAACUUCUUUUGUCAGGGACGAAGCAAGUGACGGUACCUGACGAAUAAGCCACGGCUAACUACGUGUCAGCAGCCGCGGUAAUCUGAGCGGGCUGGCAAGGC